UCCCAGGACCUAGAUUUUCUGUGCAUUGUCAGAGAGAUGAAGGAAAAUUAGGUCUCCAAGAAGGCCAGGCUUUGCCUCAGAAUAAUAAGUUCCAGGUUUUAGCUUUUUCCACUGCGUAUGAUUAUCCUUUCUAAAGGAGAUUUGAAUUGCUGUGUGAAAAAUCCCCUGUCUCAGAUCAAAGAUGUUAUCACCUAACAGUGACCUGAAGCUCUCCUGCAGCAUAGGAGUUAAAGAAAACAGGGAACAAUUCAAACUGUUAACUAUCCUGGGGUGCUGGACACAGCAUCCUUAGGCAGUUAAUGGAGAGAGUGCAAGCCACUGUCUAGCAGUCCUGAUGGUAUGAAGCUGAAAUCACUGUUGUGCUCUUGAAGUCAGCCCUGAGCAACAUGACGGCGAAAUUGCAAGUGAAUUUCUGUGCCAGAUGGGACCUAACUAAACAUAUAAUUGAAACAGUGAGAUCACCUGGAUACACAAAGCUGUCAGCUAUAAAAAAGGCAUACUCCUAAUAGCUACUGCUAGAAACAGACCAAACCAGUUUUACAGGCAGCAUGGGCCUUAAAAGUUGAUGUAAAGGAAAUACAUUUUGGAAC